rnacentral:lncRNA from 1 species
AUUGGAUAUCGUCAAUCAUGCCUUAAGGAAAUGUACAGAUGAAAAAGUGUAUCCUUGGCAAAUCGGUUUAAAUCAAACCCAGGAAUAUAUACUACAUUUGUUGAAACGAACAGAACUUUGCACAAUAUUAAAAUCAAUUACCAUGAAGUAUCCUAACUUUCAUCAACAUUCACCAAUUAUGCCACAAGAACUACAAUUGAACAAGCUCUUGAUCUUCAUCCUAUGAUAUUUGCACAUUUCCUCAGUUUCCUAUGUUACUACCAUCUGCAUGAACAAAGAUCAUGUAAACAGUCUUUGCUUCAGUUACGACAAACAAUUAUGCAGCCCCUUACUACUAAUCAAUCAUCAUAUCAUGUUGUACAUUUAUCAUUAUUAUCUGGCAUAUGUUAUCAGAUGAUUGGUGAUACACACUCAGCAAGACAAUGUUUUCUUCAAGCUACUCAGAUUGAUGAACAUAAUUUAACAAGUGCGGCAAUGAGACUGUGCAAUUGUAAUGUAGAC